rnacentral:lncRNA from 1 species
AUCAACGACCCUCCAAAAACUAUGGAAAGGCUCCACACACGGGUCAAACACUCGAAUCUUGCGAUUUGCAAGAUCCAGUGCAUUACAUUCACCCCUCCUAAAAAGGAGUUUCGUCCGCGAAACUCAAAAUGCGACGUACCUCAAGACUCCACCUGAAAAAGGUGAGGGUAGCGCUCCUGCAAAGCGCUCUCCAGCUCCCACGUAGCCUCUCGCUCCCCGUGGUUGCUCCAAAGAAC